GUGAUGAUGGGACAUUUUCUAUUCAAGAUCUUAGAAUGGUCAAGGAUGGAGACUCCGUAGUGGCCCACUUUGAUUACCACAAACAUCCCAUUACUUCUGUUGAAUGGAGUCCGCAUGAAGCCUCGACACUGGCUGUUUCAUCGUCAGAUAAUCAGCUUACAAUCUGGGACCUUUCUUUGGAGAGAGAUGAAGAGGAGGAGGCAGAGUUCAAAUCUAAAAUGAAAGAGCAAGUCAAUGCUCCAACAGAUUUGCCCCCACAACUUCUCUUUGUUCAUCAGGGUCAGAAAGAUUUGAAAGAACUUCACUGGCAUUCUCAGAUCCCAGGAAUGGUUGUUUCUACAGCGGCAGAUGGAUUUAACAUACUGAUGCCAUCGAACAUUGAAACUGCAAUUCCUGCAAAUGUUGCAUGAUAAUAGUUUUUAUUAAGUUAUAGUUUGCAUUUUUGAAGUACCUUUCCUCUGUUAUGGAAUUCGUACUUUUUCUGCUUUUGUGAUAUAUUGCGACAGUUGCAUCAAUUUUGUCAGUUUCUAUUUGUAGUGUUUGAGCUUAUAUCAAGA
rnacentral:misc_RNA from 1 species